AGUGUAAUUGCUGGGUUUUAUGGUAAAUUGAUGUUUAAUGUAUUAAGAAACUGUCAAACUUUUUUCCAAAAUGUCUGUACCAUUUUACAUUCCCAUCAGCAAU
rnacentral:pre_miRNA from 1 species